rnacentral:rRNA from 1 species
CCUACGGGUGGCAGCAGUAGGGAAUCUUCCACAAUGGACGAAAGUCUGAUGGAGCAACGCCGCGUGAGUGAAGAAGGGUUUCGGCUCGUAAAGCUCUGUUGGUAGGGAAGAAAGAUAGAGGUAGUAACUGGCCUUGAGUGGACGGUAAUUACGUAGAAAGGCACGGCUAACGACGUGCCAGCAGCCGCGGUAAGACGGAGGUGGCAAGCGUUGUCCGGAUUUAUGGGUCGUAAAGCGAGUGCAGGCGGUUCCUUACGUCUGAUGUGAAAGCCUUCGGCUCAACCGGAGAAUUGCAUCUGAAACUGUUGCACUUGAGUGCAGAUGAGGCGAGUGGAACUCCUUGUGUAGCGGUGGAAUGCGUAGAUAUAUGGCAGAACACCAGUGGCGAAGGCGGCUCUCUGGUCUGCAACUGACGCUGAUGCUCGAAAGCCUGGGUAUCGAACAGGAUUAGAUACCCUUGUAGUC